AUACGGAGGGUGCGAGCGUUAAUCGGAAUUACUGGGCGUAAAGGGUACGUAGGCGGUUAUGUCAGUCAGAUGUGAAAGCCCCGGGCUUAACCUGGGAAUUGCAUUUGAUACUGCAUAGCUAGAGUUUGAUAGAGGGGAGCGGAAUUCCCGGUGUAGCGGUGAAAUGCGUAGAGAUCGGGAGGAACACCAGUGGCGAAGGCGGCUCUCUGGACCAAAACUGACGCUGAGGUACGAAAGCGUGGGUAGCAAACAGAAUUAGAAACCCCUGUAGUCC
rnacentral:rRNA from 1 species